rnacentral:snoRNA from 1 species
CCAGCUUUAAAACCAUCGCUGUUGGAGGUCCCGCUGUUUAGGCAGGCCCGGUGACCCAUGAAAUAGUGAUGACCUAAAGUUUGG